GACGAACGCUGGCGGCGUGCUUAACACAUGCAAGUCGAGCGGGGAUACAAGGGAGCUUGCUCCUGAGUAUUCUAGCGGCGGACGGGUGAGUAACGCGUGAGCAACCUUUCCUUCACUGGGGAAUAACACAGGGAAACUUGUACUAAUACCGCAUGAGACCACAGUAUCGCAUGGUAUAGGGGUCAAAGAUUUAUCGGUGAAGGGUGGGCUCGCGUCCGAUUAGGUAGUUGGUGAGGUAACGGCCCACCAAGCCGACGAUCGGUAGCCGACCUGAGAGGGUGAUCGGCCACAUUGGGACUGAGACACGGCCCAA
rnacentral:rRNA from 1 species